rnacentral:rRNA from 1 species
GAUGAACGCUGGCGGCGUGCCUAAUACAUGCAAGUCGAACGAGGCCCUUUGUAUUCGUACGAAGGUGUCCUAGUGGCGAACGGGUGAGUAACACGUAGGUGACCUGCCCCGAAGCGGGGGACAACUCCGGGAAACUGGAGCUAAUACCCCAUGUUCUCCAUGGUGUUAGAGGACCAUGGAGCAAAGGAGCAAUCCACUUUGGGAGGGGCCUGCGGCCCAUCAGCUAGUUGGUAGGGUAAUGGCCUACCAAGGCUAUGACGGGUAGGGGACCUGAGAGGGUGGUCCCCCACACUGGAACUGAAACACGGACCAGACACCUACGGGUGGCAGCAGUAGGGAAUAUUGCACAAUGGGCGAAAGCCUGAUGCAGCAACGCCGCGUGCGCGAUGAAGGCCUUCGGGUUGUAAAGCGCUUUUCUGGGGGAAGAGGAAGGACGGUACCCCAGGAAUAAGUCUCGGCUAACUACGUGCCAGCAGCCGCGGUAAAACGUAGGAGGCGAGCGUUAUCCGGAUUUACUGGGCGUAAAGCGCGUGUAGGCGGUUAGGUAAGUCGGACGUGAAAGCUCCCGGCUCAACUGGGAGAGGCCGUUCGAAACUACCUGACUUGAGGGCAGUAGAGGGAGGUGGAAUUCCGGGUGUAGCGGUGAAAUGCGUAGAUAUCCGGAGGAACACCAGUGGCGAAGGCGGCCUCCUGGGCUGACCCUGACGCUCAGACGCGAAAGCUAGGGUAGCAAACGGGAUUAGACACCCCGGUAGUCCUAGCUGUAAACGAUGCAGACUUGGUGUUGGCAGUUUAAACACAGUCAGUGCCGUAGCUAACGCGAUAAGUCUGCCGCCUGGGGGACUACGACCGCAAGGUUA